GGUAAAAUGGCUGAGUCAAAGUAGUAAAUUGUAAAUUUAUAAAUGAAUAAAUAAUUCUUUUACCA
rnacentral:tRNA from 1 species